rnacentral:lncRNA from 1 species
GCUCACCCUAGAUCAAGAGGAGAGGCUCUCCAGAUUUGCUGACCUAGAAGGAUAAGUCUGAAAUACCCUUGGCUGUGUACAUUUGAGUAAAGAGAGCACUAUAAAAUCAAAAACCAAUGAAAUGGUUUCCAGAACACAGAACUAUUAAGCUUAAGAAAAGGACAGAAGGAACUGAAGAGAGAGGAACUGUUUUGGAGCAUCACACUUCCACCUCAGAAGAAAUAAGGAAGGAAGGAGGAGGGUGUUCCCACGGCUCUUCAACCAGGCCGGCUCUUCAGCCUACAUCCCCAUCUCAUCAAGUAAAAGGGAUUUUUCAACUGGACCAACCAGAUGGUUUAACAGUGCACUCCCACACCAUUCAACUACGCAAGGGAGAUACACUUAACAUAUGCAGUCGUAUAACACCUACUAACAUUUUCAAACAUUAAACCUUUAAAAAAGAGUUCUAAAGAAAUAGAAGCUUGAAGUAUCAUCUCUCAAGUAUAUAGACACUACUUCAUGGUGUGGUAAUAUAUGCAUAUAGAAGCUAGUAAACACCUCCAGGAGAUGCAAAAGGAAUUAGAACUGCCACAAGGUGCAAGCAAAACCUUGAGGUAAUCAAUCUGCAUCCCAUUUUGGAUGAGAAUAUUUGCAACUUUGAAGGUUAUUUUAAGGACAGCAGCAGAAGAAUUAUGGCAGGUAUCUGAAAUUCAUUUCUGUGCUUUGCCGAGGACCCAUGGGAUGCCAUUUGCAGAUGAGAAAACUAAAGAAUAGCUUUAUCUUCCAGCUCUUCACGGAAAAAAAAAUGGCAACAAUAAAAUCAGCAACUCCUGCCAAAUAAAUGGGCAUAAAAAAGAAAUCAUAGACUGCUGGCAAUGGUGGGGAAAAAGUUAUAAAAAUUGUCUCUGCACCAUCUUCCUUUUGUCCUCUAAAAUAUUCACAUUAGCAAAAGUAUAUAACAGCUGAUGAAGAAAUACUGAUAAUUUGUCUUUGUAAGUAUAUCGAAAACAUUUCAAGAUCUAGAAAUUUGAAAUUGUUGACAAGUAUUUAUCUGUUUAUUCACAAAUUUGAAAUCAACCUCAGGAAUGCUCAUUCUGAUUGAUAUACUUAGGUCAUAAAUUUUUAAGACCACAGAUUUCCAGGGACUUUUUGGAAAAUCACCCAGUAAAACAAUGUCUUUUUGCAGGGGACUAGCUUCAGUAUUUUGGCUUCUUUUUGCUUCUUUGCAACAAAUUGGGAGACAAAGGUGGGAAAGUUUUUUUCAAUAAGUUAAUAAUUUUUUAAAGGUCAAAAUUUUGUUCUUUGCUUAUAUUAGAAUUAAACACUGUGAGAUUCUCUCUGA